GCAGCAGCCGCGGUAAUACGAAGGGUGCAAGCGUUACUCGGAAUUACUGGGCGUAAAGCGUGCGUAGGUGGUGGUUUAAGUCCGUUGUGAAAGCCCUGGGCUCAACCUGGGAAUUGCAGUGGAUACUGGGUCACUAGAGUGUGGUAGAGGAUAGUGGAAUUUCCGGUGUAGCAGUGAAAUGCGUAGAGAUCGGAAGGAACAUCUGUGGCGAAGGCGUCUAUCUGGGCCAACACUGACACUGAGGCACGAAAGCGUGGGGAGCAAACAGGAUUAGAGACCCCCGUAGUCCCUGUCUCUUAUAA
rnacentral:rRNA from 1 species